UGGAGCAGUUCAAGCAGAUGCUUUGACAGUUGAUCCUAUUGCCUCCUUGGAAAAGUAUUCCCAAAUGUCAGUACUACCCCGAGCAUCAGUUUUAGCAACCGAAGUUCAGUGCCUGAACUCUAUCAAGGCUGACUUAGUGAUUUCAGAUGUUGUUCCUAUUGCAUGCCGAGCAGCUGCAGAUGCUGGAAUUCGUUCUGUUUGCGUCACCAACUUCAGGGAA